CUCACCUAAUGGUUUCGGAAUGCAAGGUAAUAGGGGCUGUGCAACAGAUACGACUUCAGGACUUGAAAAGAGUUACAUGUUUGGCACACCUAACUGUUCAACCUGAGUUGAUCCAGAGAAUUAAGGAAGCCCAAUCCGCCAAUUUCACCCUAGCAGCUCUCAGGAAAGAUGCAUAACAGGAAAUAAAUUUAAAAUACCGAGUCUCUAUCGAUGGGUUGCUCAGAUUUUAGGAUAGGGUGUGUGU
rnacentral:lncRNA from 1 species